GAUGAACGCUGGCGGCGUGCCUAAUACAUGCAAGUCGAGCGAACGGACGAGAAGCUUGCUUCUCUGAUGUUAGCGGCGGACGGGUGAGUAACACGUGGAUAACCUACCUAUAAGACUGGGAUAACUUCGGGAAACCGGAGCUAAUACCGGAUAAUAUUUUGAACCGCAUGGUUCAAAAGUGAAAGACGGUCUUGCUGUCACUUAUAGAUGGAUCCGCGCUGCAUUAGCUAGUUGGUAAGGUAACGGCUUACCAAGGCAACGAUGCAUAGCCGACCUGAGAGGGGGUUCGGCCACCCUGGAACUGAGCCCCGGCCCAGACUCCUAGGGGAGGCAGCAGUAGGGAAUUUUCCGCAAUGGGCGAAAGCCUGAGGGAGCAACGCCGCGGGGGUGAUGAAGGUCUUCGGAUCGUAAAACUCUGUUAUUAGGGAAGAAAAUAUGUGUAAGUAACUGUGCAAAUCUUGACGGUACCAAAUCAGAAAGCCACGGCUAACUAAGU
rnacentral:rRNA from 1 species